rnacentral:misc_RNA from 1 species
CCUUUCUACGGAGAAUUCAGGCUUCUGUUUGGAAGCUGGUGUGUGCCCCACGGCCAUGAUCGUCAUGGUUUGGUUGGGGUUGCUGGUGUGGAAGAGAUUAGAGUGUUGGCUUGUGGUAUGGGCAUGCUUUUGGGUUCCCGGACCGUCACCCCAGGGGUUUUCCUGGUGCGGUUCCGUGCCUCUGGUCGCAUGGCUGGGCUGUUGUCUGGUGCGUGGGCUGGUGUGUGUGGUGGUUUGAGAACUGGAUAGUGGACGCGAGCAGAAUAUGAAAUGUUUGUUUCAUGUUUUGUUUUUUCGUUGAGCUCAAGACAAUUUGGUUUGUUUUGGGUGUUUGAUCGUUUUGUGAUCGUUAGUGUGAUGAUUUGUCGUCAAGCAGUUUUGCUAUGGAAUUUGUGUGUGAUCGACUGAUUGUGGUU